CGGGGGGGGGGGUUUAUCGGAAAUUAUGGGCGUAAGCGCAGCAGGCGGUUUGUUAAGUCAGAUGUGAAAUAAAAAGAACAACCUGGGAACUGCAUCUGAUACUGGCAACUUAGAAAAAAAAAAGAGGGGGGUAGAAUUCCAGGUGUACCGGUGAAAUGCGUAGAGAUCUGGAGGAAUACCGUUGGCAAAGGAGGCCCCCUGGAGAAACUGACGCUCAGGUGCGAAAGCGUGGGGAGCAAACAGGAUUAGAUACCCUGGUAGUCCACGCCGUAAACGAUGUCUACUUGGAGGUUGUGCCCUUGAGGCGUGGCUUCCGGAGCUAACGCGUUAAGUCGACCGCCAGGGAAGUGCGGCCGCAAGGUUAAGACUCAAAUGAAUUGACGGGGGCCCGCACAAGAGGUGGAGCAUGUGUUUUAAAUCGAUGCAACGCGAACAGCCUUACCUGGGCUUGACCUCCACGGAAGUUUUCAGAGUUGACAGGGUGCCUUCCGGAACCGUGAGACCAGUGCUGCAUGGCCGACGUCAGCUCAUGUUAGAUAAGAGUUG
rnacentral:rRNA from 1 species